rnacentral:rRNA from 1 species
CGGUGGCUAUUGCACAGGGGUCAUACCUCUUCCCAUUCCGAACAGAGAAGUCAAGCCCUGUAGCGCCGAUGGUACUUGGUGGGCAACUGCCUGGGAGAGUAGGACACCGCCGGAAUU